rnacentral:tRNA from 1 species
GGAAGCGUGGCCGAGUGGUUGAAGGCAACAGUCUUGAAAACUGUCGUACCCGGAAGGGUAUCGUGAGUUCGAAUCUCACCGCUUCCG